AAAAGUCAGUAACAAGGUUUCCGUAGGUGAACCUGCGGAAGGAUCAUUAUCAAUUUUACAGUCCUGGGAUGGGGGUAUAAAAGCCCCCUUCCCAUGCUGUUCAACCCUUUGUCUUUUGCGUACUGUAUGUUUCCUCGGCGGGUUCGCCCGCCGAUAGGACACUUCAAAACCUUUUGUAAUUGCAAUCAGCGUCAGAAAAACUAUAAUAGUUACAACUUUCAACAACGGAUCUCUUGGUUCUGGCAUCGAUGAAGAACGCAGCGAAAUGCGAAAAGUAGUGUGAAUUGCAGAAUUCAGUGAAUCAUCGAAUCUUUGAACGCACAUUGCGCCCCUUGGUAUUCCAUGGGGCAUGCCUGUUCGAGCGUCAUUUGUACCCUCAAGCUCUGCUUGGUGUUGGGUGUUUGUCCCGCCUUCGCGCGUGGACUCGCCUUAAAGUGAUUGGCAGCCGGAAUAAUUCUGGGGAACGCAGCACAACUGCAGCCUCCAUUUUACGCCGAGCGUCCAGUAAGCCUUUUUUCAACGUUUGACCUCGGAUCANGUAGGGAUACCCGCUGAACUUAAGCAUAUCAAUAA
rnacentral:rRNA from 1 species